GAGUUUGAUCCUGGCUCAGGACGAACGCUGGCUGCGUGCUUAACACAUGCAAGUCGAACGCUGAAGCCCCAGCUUGCUGGGGUGGAUGAGUGGCGAACGGGUGAGUAACACGUGAGUAACCUGCCCCUGACUUCGGGAUAAGCCCGGGAAACUGGGUCUAAUACCGGAUACGACCGUCGGACGCAUGUCUGGUGGUGGAAAGUUUUUUCGGUUGGGGAUGGGCUCGCGGCCUAUCAGUUUGUUGGUGAGGUAAUGGCUCACCAAGACGACGACGGGUAGCCGGCCUGAGAGGGCGACCGGCCACACUGGGACUGAGACACGGCCCAGACUCCUACGGGAGGCAGCAGUGGGGAAUAUUGCACAAUGGGGGAAACCCUGAUGCAGCGACGCAGCGUGCGGGAUGACGGCCUUCGGGUUGUAAACCGCUUUCAGCAGGGAAGAAGCGCAAGUGACGGUACCUGCAGAAGAAGUACCGGCUAACUACGUGCCAGCAGCCGCGGUAAUACGUAGGGUACGAGCGU
rnacentral:rRNA from 1 species